GCACCCAUUCACUGCAGAGGAUCCAUUGGUGAUUAUAAUGAGUUAAUUCACAGCAGUGAACUGCAGAUUUUGUCCUGACCUCGUCUGGCACUGAAGGGGGGAAGCCUGUCUGUCUGAUUAACUCAAUACAGCCAAACUGACAAUGAUGAAAGCCAACAGAAGAAAAAUACUACAGUGCUACAAAACCAUUCUUGACAUUCUUCUGAUGGGCAAGACCAUAGGCAGCUGUAUAUGUUUUAAUGGGUUAUCUGUCACUCCUAAAGCUGAAAGUCACCUUGCUGUCUUUCUCUUAUCUGUUCAUACUGGGAGUGAA